GAUGAACGCUAGCGGCAGGCUUAACACGUGCAAGUCGAGGGGUAUAGUUCUUCGGAGCUAGAGACCGGCGCACGGGUGCGUAACGCGUAUGCAAUCUACCUUUUGCAGAGGGAUAGCCCAGAGAAAUUUGGAUUAAUACCUCAUAGUAUGUGAGAAUGGCAUCAUUUUCACAUUAAAGUCACAACGGCAAAAGAUGAGCAUGCGUCCCAUUAGCUUGUUGGUAAGGUAACGGCUUACCAAGGCAACGAUGGGUAGGGGUCCUGAGAGGGAGAUCCCCCACACUGGUACUGAGACACGGACCAGACUCCUACGGGAGGCAGCAGUGAGGAAUAUUGGACAAUGGGCGCAAGCCUGAUCCAGCCAUGCCGCGUGCAGGAUGACGGUCCUAUGGAUUGUAAACUGCUUUUGUACAGGAAGAAACACUGGUUCGUGAACCAGCUUGACGGUACUGUAAGAAUAAGGAUCGGCUAACUCCGUGCCAGCCGCCGCAGUAAAAC
rnacentral:rRNA from 1 species